CAAAAUCGUGCCCUAGCCAUCCUCGUGCCCAGCCUUUCCCUUCGUCUCCCAACCCGGCGCCACCCUCCCUCGCGUAGCUUCCCCUUCUCCACAGAUACAAAGCCUCAAGCCGAACCCUUUUCCUUCCAGCGCCUUCUCCCCUCCUCUACACCGAGCUCUUCUCCUUUCCUGAAUCCAAAAAUCACCAAUCAUUCUCACUCGAGUGAUCUCCACGGCCGACACUGGUCGCCAGCCAUCCGAUCCCACCCUAUCUAUCCCCAUCGGAAGCCGAACACCCGCGUCUUUUUGGUCAGGCCCUGGAUUUGGGUCCACAGUCACCGACGCCUCCUUCCUCCCGACCCUUGUGGAUCACCACCUGAGGAAAGAAGAUUCGACCAGGACUAGUUCACCUAUGAAUCUUCUUUCUUUGUUGGAUCUGAGUCACGUGAGCUCUCUUCGCCAGAGCUAACCUAGGGUUUUCGGCGGUCAGAUUUGAGAUCAGAGGUUGAUGCUGUGGCUUGAGACUUCAGUGCCGCUAUUCAUUGGUCCUGGCUACCGGGAUUUGGUACUUGCUGAGAGCCAUCAGUCGACACUUUUUGGGGAUUUUGAUUAGAGACGUGCAUCUCAACGUGGGAUCUAUUUCGGAUUCGAUCUCCAUUUUUGAGGCUGAUACUUUGACUUAUCUUUUUGGAUAUUGUCAUUCUAAUAUGCUUAGUAGGUUAUAACUUGCAGUAAUAGUUAUGUUUGUUUUUGUUUGGUAUGCCACUACUUGAUACCUGUAGCAUGCCUUAUUUGUUGUUUGCUAUACAUCUAUGCUUAUACCCUCUUGAUUAUUGCCAUGUGUAUUAUGUUCAUAGAGGUAGUGACGUACUAUGUCUUAUUGUGUACAGGACUAGUUAUUUGCCAUACUUGUCAGGUGUACCUAGAUCAUUUCAUUGGAUCCAUUUACUUUUUGGUACAUACUUUAUAGAUAUGGACAUGGUAAGGAUUUUCAUGCUUAGUGUCAUGCACCAUCUUGCAUGAUUGCAUGCUGAGCGAUUGUUGGCUCUAUUAUUGUUGAUCACAUCGCCAGUUACAUAGAUCUAUACACACAACCACUCAUGGAUU